rnacentral:tRNA from 1 species
GGAGGGAUAUCGAAGUGGUCAUAACGAGGCGGUCUUGAAAACCGUUUGUCCGCGAGGGCGCAAGAGUUCGAAUCUCUUUCCCUCCGCCA